rnacentral:tRNA from 1 species
ACCUGGCUGGCUCACUUGGUAGAGCCUGUGACUCUUGAUCUCAGCAUUGUGGGUUCAAGCCCCACAUUAGGUG